rnacentral:misc_RNA from 1 species
AGACUCAACCCCUCAGAGUUUUCUCUGAUCGGUUGGACUUGGGUGUUUGCCUUUGUUGGCUCGCCUUAAAUACCUUAGCGAUUCUCCAGUAGGAUCUGUGCUUGGCGUGAUACGUUUCGCCUGGCCUGCCUCGGUUGAGAUGGCUUCUAACCGCUUUUGUUAGCAACUACUUUUGA